UACGUAGGGGGCAAGCGUUGUCCGGAUUUACUGGGCGUAAAGAGCGCGUAGGCGGAGGGAGAAGUCCGGUGUGAAAGCCCACGGCUCAACCGUGGAAGGUCGCUGGAAACUCUUCUUCUUGAGGGCGACAGAGGGAAGUGGAAUUGCUGGUGUAGCGGUGAAAUGCGUAGAUAUCAGCAGGAACACCCAUGGCGAAGGCAGCUUCCUGGGUCGGCCCUGACGCUGAGGCGCGAAAGCGUGGGGAGCGAACGGG
rnacentral:rRNA from 2 species